UUCUAAAAAUAGAACAUACAAUGACAGUUACUGAUUGAUAUAGGCAAUUUAACCUUUAAUCAAUCGGGCAUUCGAAGUAACUAAGAAGUUAGGACGAUACUGCCUAUUAGACAGAAUUCAGUUGUAGAGGUUCAGAACAUUCAGUUUAUUUGAGUUCAUCAUGUAAGAUGAUGAUGAGUCUGGUGUAAUUCUUCUUGUGUGUAUGGUGCAAACGCUAAGUAUAGACAGGAAUGCCAUUUGUUGUUUGACAUAUUACGAUUCCAGGUGGACUAUUUCUCAUACAGCUCCUACUGUGGGUGCCAGUCAGAAAAAUCUAAUCGAACUCACCACUUCUGAGUUUGCCGUAUUGCUUGUGCCUAACAACAAGCAUACCUAUAUAU